UACAGAGGUGGCAAGCGUUGUUCGGAAUUACUGGGCGUAAAGGGCGCGUAGGCGGCCUUCUAAGUCAGACGUGAAAUCCCCCGGCUUAACCUGGGAACUGCGUCUGAUACUGGGAGGCUCGAGUAUGGGAGAGGGAUGUAGAAUUCCAGGUGUAGCGGUGAAAUGCGUAGAUAUCUGGAGGAAUACCGGUGGCGAAGGCGGCAUCCUGGACCAUUACUGACGCUGAGGCGCGAAAGCGUGGGGAGCAAACAGG
rnacentral:rRNA from 1 species